rnacentral:rRNA from 1 species
UCAAGUGCCCUUCACCUGCCCCCCCGAAACCAGACGAUCUACCAAGUAGCAGCACAUUAGAGCCAACCCAUCCCUGUAGCAAAAGGGUGGAAAGACUGCUUGGUAGCGGUGAAACGCCAACCGAGCCUGGAUAUAGCUGGUUACUCACUAAAUGAAUCUAAGUUCAGCUCUAGUGUUUACUCACCACAAAACCGAAUACAAACACCACCGCACUAGAAGUUAUAUAGUAAAGGAACAGCCUUACUAUACCCGAAUACAGCCGAAACUAGAGGGCCAACCACCACCCACCACCAGUAGGCCUUUAAACAGCCACCAUUAAAAACCGCGUCAAAGCAUCAAACCCUACAAAAUUCCAACACAAAAUAAAACCCCCUAACACAAACUGAGUCACCCCACAAUAAAUGUGGGGGAAACACUGCUAAAACUAGUAAUAAGUUUACCAACUCAAGUGCACCCUCAUGCGCCGGCACCGAAUCCCCCUACCGACAAUUAAACAGCCUAAAACAAAGACCACUUAAACCACAUCAAGAUAAAUAACCAAACCCCCUGUCAACCCAACACAGGCGUGCACAAAAUAAAGACCCACAGCUAUAAAAG